rnacentral:rRNA from 1 species
UACGGGGGGGGCAAGCGUUGUUCGGAAUUACUGGGCGUAAAGGGCGCGUAGGCGGCCUUCUAAGUCGGAGGUGAAAUCCCUCGGCUCAACUGAGGAACUGCCUCCGAUACUGCAUGGCUUGAGUCCCGGAGAGGGUGGUGGAAUUCCCAGUGUAGCGGUGAAAUGCGUAGAUAUUGGGAGGAACACCGGUGGCGAAGGCGGCCACCUGGACGGGUACUGACGCUGAUGCGCGAAAGCGUGGGGAGCAAACAGG